rnacentral:rRNA from 1 species
UGGUGGAGUGAUUUGUCUGGUUAAUUCCGUUAACGAACGAGGCCUUAACCUGCUAAUUAGGUGUUGCUAUUUCUAGCAUUCGUCUUCUUAGAGGGACUAUGUGUCCAAGCACAUGGAAGUUUGAGGCAAUAACA